GACGAACGCUGGCGGCGUGCUUAACACAUGCAAGUCGAACGGAAAGGCCCUGCUUUUGUGGGGUGCUCGAGUGGCGAACGGGUGAGUAAAACGUGAGUAACCUGCCCUUGACUUUGGGAUAACUUCAGGAAACUGGGGCUAAUAUCGGAUAGGAGAUCCUGCUGCAUGGUGGGGGUUGGAAAGUUUCGGCGGUUGGGGAUGGAAUCGCGGCUUAUCCGCUUGUUGGUGGGGUAGUGGAGUUCCAAGGCUUUGACGGGUAGCCGGCCUGAGAGGGUGACCGGGCACAUUGGGACUGAGAUACGGCCCAGACGCCUACGGGAGGCAGCAGUCGGGAAUAUUGCACAAUGGGCGGAAGCCUGAUGUAGCAACGCCGCGUGCGGGAUGACGGCCUUCGGGUUGUAAACAGAUUUGGCCUGUGACGAAGCGUGAGUGACGGUAAUGGGUAAAGAAGCACCGGCUAACUACGUG
rnacentral:rRNA from 1 species